rnacentral:rRNA from 1 species
AACGUAGGAUCCGAGCGUUGUCCGGAAUCACUGGGUGUAAAGGGUGCGUAGGCGGGCUUGCGCGUCAAGGGUUAAAGACCUCGGCUCAACCGAGGGAAUGCCCUUGAUACGGCAGGCCUUGAGUGCGGGGGAGGAUGGUGGAAUUCCUGGUGUAGGGGGGAAAUGCGUAGAGAUCAGGAGGAACCCAGAAGGCGAAGGCAGCCAUCUGGACCGCCACUGACGCUGAGGCACGAAAGCGUGGGGAGCAAACAGG